rnacentral:rRNA from 1 species
UGGCGAACGGGUGAGUAACACGUGGGUGAUCUGCCUUGCACUCUGGGAUAAGCUUGGGAAACUGGGUCUAAUACCGGAUAGGAACCGUCUUUAGUGUGGUGGUUGGAAAGUUUUUUCGGUGCAAGAUGAGCUCGCGGCCUAUCAGCUUGUUGGUGGGGUAAUGGCCUACCAAGGCGUCGACGGGUAGCCGGCCUGAGAGGGUGUACGGCCACAUUGGGACUGAGAUACGGCCCAA